CUUUAGCUUAAUGAAGCAGUUUUGGUGUAUAGAACAUGCCCCUGCAGCCUCACUGCUCAAUCCUCUGCCAUUUAGGAGUUAAAUCUGUUUGUUUAUGAACCCUAGUCACACCUCCCUGCAUGUGACUUGCACAGCCUUCCAUAAACACUUCCUGUAAAGAGAGCCCUAUUUAGGCUUUCUUUAUUGCAAGUUCUGUUUAAUUAAGAUUUUCUUAUCCCCUGCUAUGUUAAUAGCUUGCUAGACCCUGCAAGAGCCUCCUG